rnacentral:RNase_P_RNA from 1 species
UUGAACAGUUGCGUGUACAAAGCCGAAAGGCUGUAUGCGAGGAAAGUCCGGGCUCCGCAGGGCAGAAUAACGGCUAACGGCCGCCGGGGGCAACCCCAGGGAAAGUGCAACAGAGAUAUACCGCCGAUAAUAUCGGUAAGGGUGGAAAGGCGAGGUAAGAGCUCACCGGCACAAGCGAGAGUUUGUGACCCUGUAAACCCUAUUCGGAGCAACACCGCGGAUGGACUAUACGCUUGCCCGGCGUGUCCUAUGGAGGUGGCACUGAGCAGCUUCGGCAACGAACUGCCAAGAUAGAUAACUGUUUACAACAGAACCCGGCUUACAGAUCCGGUC